AGUUAGAGACAUUUAUCACUUUUUAACGAAGUUAGGCUGGACAAAACCCACGACAAUUGUUGUACUGUUAACUGACACAGAUUAGUGUCGUUUUUUCAUAUAAAGGUAAUUUUGAUGUCUAAGAUUAAAGGUAACGUUAAGUGGUUUAAUGAGUCCAAAGGAUUCGGUUUCAUUACUCCGGAAGAUGGCAGCAAAGACGUAUUCGUACACUUCUCUGCAAUCCAGACCAACGGUUUCAAAACUCUGGCUGAAGGUCAGCGUGUAGAGUUCGAAAUCACUAACGGUGCCAAAGGCCCUUCUGCUGCUAACGUUACCGCUCUGUAAGCGAGAAUAGCAGUCAGAAUUCAAAACCCGCUUAAUCGCGGGUUUUUUU
rnacentral:sRNA from 1 species